AAGUCGUAACAAGGUUUCCGUAGGUGAACCUGCGGAAGGAUCAUUAAUGAAGUUUUUUGGGGUUUUUAAUCUCAAAAAUAAUUCACCUUUUGUGCAUUGUUAUUAGAUAUACUUUGGUUAGAGCUUUGAUUUCAUUUAUUGGAAUCAACUUCUUGCUAACUCUAUCCUUUCUGAGGACAGUUGGCUAUGAAGCGGCCGACCAAGGUUUUUUAUCAAACACAUUUAAUUUAUCUGACCUAAAAACAAAUAAUUAAAUCAUAACUUUCAACAACGGAUCUCUUGGCUCUC
rnacentral:misc_RNA from 1 species